GAUGAAGAACGUAGCGAAAUGCGAUAAGUAGUGUGAAUUGCAGAAUUCCGUGAAUCAUCGAAUCUUUGAACGCACAUUGCGCCUUCUGGUAUUCCGGAAGGCAUGCCUGUUCGAGAGUCAUUAACAACCGUUUCGAUCCCUUUCUUUCAGAAAUUACAAAGAGGAAAAGGGUUUGGUUAUGGUGGAGGAGGGAAAGGGAGCGUUUAGCCUGUAAAAAAAGAGGCUGUGUUCCGCCUCCCCCCCAAAAUUGUACAGGCGGUCGUGUGCGCCCACGCAUCGAGGUGUUGUAAAAGCUGCCACGGCACUUUUCACCUGUGCAGUGCGAGAUUGGCCAGCCGGUUUAAAAACCCCUCCAAACAAUCAAAGGUUGACCUCGGAUCAGGUAGGGAUACCCGCUGAACUUAAGCAUAUAAAUAAGCGGAGGA
rnacentral:misc_RNA from 1 species